rnacentral:rRNA from 1 species
AAGUCGUCUGAGUACUAUAUUAUACUUAAAUCCUCUAUCAUCGGUUUGCUUGGUUCUGGCAUCGAUUAAGAAGUAUCGUAUGCAUAAAUUAUGUUAUUGCAGAAUCAGUGAUAAUCGAUCUGGGAACGCAUUGAGACCCUGUAGUACGGG